ACCAAAACUAAUAUCAGCAUAGAAUCUAAUAAUGAAGAUAAGUAGUUAAAACAUCAAAAUGUUUGAUUUUUUCCUUGCAUUCUGAAAUAAACACUGUAGGCUCUUUCUUAUACUGAUAAUAAUCAAGUAGACGAUAACAAAGUAGUAAUACAUAAAAACAUAUGUUGUUCAUUUGCACAGCUUGAAGCAUCAACAGUAAAGAAAAACACACCUUGUCUAUAUUAAUGGCUUUCCUCAGAUGAAGGAGAGGCCAUGUGCUGUUGAUGGUACACACACCUUUUUGCCCUGCCAAGAUUUGCCAUUUAAUCAGGAGGUGAAGCCAGACAAACAGCAGUGCUUUGUUUGUUAUCCCAAUCACAAAGUCCAUGUUUAUGAUCACUGAUAAUGCUGCAAUGCACGCCUGUUUCUGCAGCAGUUAUUUGGUCUUUUCCAGUAUCUUCCUUGGGCAAAAGGUUCAGGAGAUUUGCUCUUGCAAGUUUGUAAGGGAAACUGUUGAUCACAGCCUGAACCUCUGAUUAACCAUCUGAGGCAAGUGAUGUGUCAGCUGUGGGAGCACAGGUGAAGGUAAUUCAGCUGUGCUCCCGGGAGGGGUGAAGAUUGACCCCAAUCUCUCCUAGAUCCCAUUUAAGUGUUGACCACCUCUGAAGUAAUAUUGCUUUCUGGAGACUGCUUCUUUGUGGAGUUCUUGUGGUGAGCCUUGAUAUCAGUGAGCAUCUAUCUUGGCUGAAGGCCUUGGAGUUGGCAGUGGGAUCAGAAGGCAUUGAAGCAUCCCUUCCAACUUGAACCAUUCUACUAUCCUACAACCCAAAACUGGUCCAUAAGGCCUUUGAAACUCGUGUUCCUUGCUGCUGUGCAGCUUUUAUGGAGGACUGCUGUCUGCAGGAGCACAUCUGCCCUGGUCCUCCACAACCCAUCCUGGCUGCAUGGUGAGACACAGAGCCUGGAAAGGUGGAUCUGGUAGGAAGAAAACAUCUUAAACAGGAAUGUGGAAAGAGAAGAGGAAAAUUACAAUGGCAGCAAAGGCAAAUGAACAAAGACAGUUAGAAAUUUAUAUUAAUAACACACGGCUCUCUGUAAAGUUAGCAUUUGGAGUUGCUGACUCUUCAAUUUGCGCCUUCUGCAUUAAGGAUAUAAUGCAGUAAUCCAAUCAAAAUGCUGCUUUGGAAAUGUCAGAAGGAGCUCCAACAAACACACUGCAGGGCUCUUCUGAGCUGCCCUGGGGGGAAAGCAGCUGGGAAGAGAGGAGCAGCUCUGAUCUCCAUGCAUGCACCAACUGCCCCAUUCCCCAGGCCACCUCCUAUACCAUCCCCUGGUACAGGCUAUCUCCAGUCCUUCAAAUGCACAAGUACUAUUAAGAGAUGCAUCUGAAUAAACCAGUGCUUCCAGUGAUGAAUAGAGAUGGCUGAAGGAAUGCUGUACGGGCCUGAAAAAUGCCUGGUUAUUUUAACAGCGAGUGGAUUAAUGGGGAAAUGAGGAGUUCAGCUGAUGAGCACAUGGGUAGUAAUCAGCAGGAAUGAUGGCAGCCAUCCUUCAAGGGACAGUGAAGAGAUGCAAAAGACACCUGUGGUAUUGCAUGGUGAAAGAUAUGCAGGGCACAAAAUACCUAAACACAGCUUUUGGAAGUAUGGAGGAUGAACAGUGCUGGCAAUAACUGCACUGUCAGUGCGUGUUCAGUGUAUGGAUAAAAUCAUCAAUUGACUCAAAAGAGCGUAGUAAACCAUGAUGGAUGAUAAUUGCCAUUAUGAAUGCAUAAUUCAGUAUAGGAGGGACUGAUUCAGUAUCUCAUUACUCAGCACCUGUGAGAGUCUACCUGCAGAGCUCCCCUGUUCCAGAGAAGUGCUGGGAGACUGGAAGGGACCCAGGUAGAAGGCACCUAAUGAGGUAGCCCAGGGUUUAGAGUGUUCAUCCUAAAAGGGGACUCUGAGGAGCUGGAUGGUUUCAUCUAAUGAAGAGGAGAUGCAGAGUGAGCUAAUUGCAGUAUACAUCUACUGGAAGGAGGGUUGCAUGGAUGACAGAGCCAAAUUCUCCUCCAAGAAGAUACAGCAAGGGACAGCAGUCCUUAACAUGGACAGAACAGUGGGAAUGCUCUUCAUUUCUUGGUCCUUUGGAAGGAGAGUGUGGUGUCCAAACCAUAGAAUCAUUAUGGUUGGAGAAGACCACUUGGAUAAUCUAAUCCAACCAUGAUGAAUGGAUUCUCUAUAUAAAACACCUUCAGAGACCUUUACAAGAAGGAUUUCUGUGGCUCUAGUACUUAGUGGACAUACAUUCAUCAGCUUCCAUUCCACACAGAGGAUAGUUUUUAUUUCAGCCUGAAGAGCUAGAAGGUUAGAAUACAUGAGAAUGAUUAGGCAUCUCUGUUGGCUGUGAGCAGCUUGAAACAAGGACCAAGAGUUCUGUUUUCAGGGAGGGUUCUGGGGAAAGGAACCAACAGGUGUAAGAGAAGAGCAGGAGCAUAGGAAGGCAUGGCAAGGUGAAAUGCUGACAUGCUGUCAUCACCCUGCAGUCCAUUGCCAUACAGCUGAAUGGAGCGGUGGAAGCUGCUUGGGCUUCCUGAGCUCCCCUGAGUGGGUCCCACUGCUCCAACAUAAAGCUGGAGUGCUGCUCUCCUCUGCUACAUCCCACAGGUCAGGGAUUGUCCAUGGACAGGAGCCUGUUGGCACUGUGCACUGCAGCUCCUUUCAAGCCACAGGCUUGAAUAUUUGAGGAUGGUAGAGUUGUAGGUUAUUCCCGGCCUGGCAUUACUCCUCCUCCUGUUGUCCAUUGCCAUCAGAGGGGCUGUAGCUCCAUGCAGCAGGGCUGUGCUGGUUCUCUUCCACCUGCUAGGGCAUUGCUUUGUGCUCCAGCAGCUCAUUCUGCAGUUUGUGAGUACGCCUUGCUGGUUGUGAGUAAUUUAUGUAUUUAUUAUGCCCCCUGGCAGUGCUGUUUUACUAAAGCUGUCCCCUUUUUUAUGUUGCUCCUUUAUCCCACUGGGAACAGGACUUAUAUAUCUUUAAAGAAAACAGAGUUAUUUCAUAUAUUUUUAAAUGGGAAUUUAAGUGGAGUAAUGCAGAUGAAGGGGAGAACACAAACACAAUAAUGCUUUGUAUCUUAAAUAAAAAAUACCUUUCUCAGGAAGGCAUGCAGUGGUGAUUUUUCUCUCGGGCUUUCUGCAGAAAGUGCUGGCUGUUAAAGGACUUUUCUAUAUGUCUCUAACUGAUUCAGAGCACAUUUUUCCUACAUAGUUCUGCUCUGUGGUAAAGAGGAAGGCUUUCAUCAAGUGCCUUUUUGUGUAUCCAGAUAGUUUCUCCAGGUACUAAACAGGGUUUAAGAAGAUGCUGGAGACUUUUCCAAUACGAAGAGGGCAGCACAGAUGCUCCCAGAUGCUGUUCCUAGUAAAUUUUAGGAGGAAAUGAAAUUUAUGUUAUGUCUCGGAAGGGCAUUGCUGCCCAUGGGGCUCUCAGCUCCCUUGGAAUCAGGGCUUGAGACAGGAUUCUUGCUCCCCAUGGCCAAAGCCAAUGCUUCAGGACAGCAUGGACUGUGGUACCAUUGUGCACAAGGAAGGGUCUGAGGGUGCCAGUCUGCACCAAGAGGCUGUGGCUGCAAUUGUGGACCCACAACAUUGUUUGUGGGAUUUGGGACUUGGACAGUGCAGUAGCACAAACCAUCCUCCUGAUUUCAAUACUGGCAUUUUCCAGCACCAGAAGAACUCGUGGAGCUUGUUGCAGCCACAGCAAUGUCAACCUGAGCAGCCCUACAAAUGAAGGUGUAGGCAACCAGCAGGUUCAAGCCCAUCUUCUGAAUGUUCUCCUGUGUCACAGGAUGAUGGAGACAAGGAGCUCUGCUCUGCCACACCACCAGCAGGCAGCGUUUUAUUGCCUGUUCAUGUCUGAAGCCUUCUGCGCACUGCAGAGCACUUAUCGCUCACGCUGGUGAAAUCUGGGGGUUGGAUGUAAAGGAAGGAGGUGCUCAGUCUCAGCACAAAUCCCAUAGGAUGACAAGUGAGAGAACAACGCAGGUGGGAGGUGUAUCAUUAGGGAUGCAUCCAAGCUUCCUCCCUGGAGAGCAGAUCCCGGUUCAGCAGCCUGUGAACUUCAACAGCCUUUGCUCAGCUCUCUCCCCAUAAUUUAUCACUCUGCUAAGCAGGACUGAAUGAGAGCUACAGCAACACUUAGCUCUCAACAGCACCUUCAAUCUGAGUGCUCACAGCUUCUU